GUCUACGGCCAUACCACCCUGAACGCGCCCGAUCUCGUCUGAUCUCGGAAGCUAAGCAGGGUCGGGCCUGGUUAGUACUUGGAUGGGAGAAAAGCCAGGUCCACGGGCU
rnacentral:rRNA from 1 species